ACAUUCCCUGUCCCCCACUUUGUCUUUUAUUUCACAGCUGGAAGUUGAAACAAGAAGAGGGGACUCAAGUAAUGAGGGAAUAAGCUGAAAACUGGGGACAGAAAUGAACCCUAUUCCAAAAAUAAAGGCUUGCAAAAAUUGAUUUCCUGAAGAAGUAUGAAGCAAUUUCAGCUUUAGAGCUUUUUCUGGAGGGGUUUCCACAAAUUCCUGAAGAUCCCCUGCUCCAUCCUCACUCUUCAAGCAUGGCUAAGCUCAGUAUGGAUUACCUGGGCUCCUCGGGAGGGAGCACCCAGAAGACUAGGAAUGGCCAAACCCCCAACUGCCUUUGGAAAGGCAAGGGCUGGAAGAGGAAGCUGAUGUUUGCCUUGCCACCCUGUUGAAGGGAUGGUGCUCCUGUCUUUGUCUUCAUCCUUUUGCAACUGAAGAUUCUUCAGGAUUCCCCUCUGAGCAGAAUGCCUCCCCACCAUGGUGUAUAGGCUGCAGCAGUGUGCAUGGCUGGCCCAGUAAAGGACAUAUUGAGUCCUUAAGGAGAAACGUCCUACAAGCUGUUAUGUUUCUGCCCAGUAAAACGUCCUACAAGCUGCUAUGUUUCUGGCCAGGAACAUUUUUAGGUUUCCUUGUUUGCUCCUUUACUUGCCUGCCUGGUUUUGCUGCCUUUUCAGGUCUUUAAAGAACUUGUCUACCCUGUCUCCUCUAAAGAACAGAGCUGAAAAUACUCCUGCCUUUCCAUGUCUACCUCCUCACUUAAAGGGCUGCAGACUUCUGGGUUCCUGUUAGUUUUGGUGAAGUUGCACAUGCACAGUCCCUGUGAAUUUGCAGCCAGCCAGUGAAGUCCCCACUGAAGGCCACUGCAUGGGUACAUGAAAGUAAGAGAGCUCUCCAAUGUGUUAGGAAAUAUGUUUCUUCUAAGCCUGCUGAAAAAUGGAUCUCGGCAAAGAAGGGAAAAAGAAGAAUGGAGAAAAGAAAUUCUGUUGGUUGGUUUUCACAAGAAUGAAAAUUUGGCAAAUAAGGUCCAAGGCACUGUAAGGAAAAGAGAUGUGAGGUAAGUGCUCACAGAUGCUUCCAGACACACACUGUUCCUUAGCCAGGAUAUAGUGCUGCUCCACACAGGCUUUCAUCAAACACCACCAAAGAGGGCAGAGCAGAGUGAUCUAUGAGGUCCUAAAGUCUGGAUCAUAUUCUUCCCCACAUCUGACACAUCUCCUAUCAUUCAAGUUACUGGCUGAAAAGGAGUGUUUUGGACCCACAUAAAUUGAGUCACCUCAUGCUGCCCAUAAAGUGUUGCAUGUGUUUCCUUAAUUAUAGAGUGCUCUUGGUUCUGCCUGGUGUUAGGCUCUUCAAAAUCAGGUGACACAGACAUGACAUGUCUUCUGGGCUCGGUGGUGACUUGGUCUUUCAAUACAGGACAGUGCCACCCCUUUCAUGACCUGCUCUGUGCCCCAGCCUCUGAGAAGUCAGAUCUGCACUGUACCUGGCUCCUGAAGGAUGGGGUGGGAUGUGCUGUGUCACAGGCAGCAAGAGCUGCACUGUGAAAAAAAACCCACAUU